UCCCUGGUGGUCUGAUGGUUAGGACUCGGCGCUUUCACUGCCAAAGGGCCCAGGUUCAACCCCUGGUUGGGGAA
rfam:Ovis aries breed Texel chromosome 3, whole genome shotgun sequence.